rnacentral:lncRNA from 1 species
CCAAGUGAUAGAGGUGCCCAGUCCAAGUGAAGGGCAAGAGUCUACAUACCACUUUCCUCUAUUCAAGCUAUUUAUGCCUACUAGGUUUAGAAUACUGAUUAUGAAAGUGGACCCCCGAAGAGGGUCAUGGCUGAGAUUCAAGGAAGUCUCUAGCCUGCUAACAUCGAAUGCAAAUUGGUGUGUGAGGAUACACAUUAACAAAAAUUUUCUGGGAAGAGCAUAUAAAAUUUCCAUUAGAUUCUCAAGGAGGUAGGAAUAAAGGAUUUUAGUAACUAUUACUCUAAAAUGAAAGAAUUCCUUUAAAUUGAAUGGCAGAUCUUAGUCAUGACCUGAAAAGCUGAUAAAAAAAAACUUUUCAAAAGUUAAAACCUAGGGCUUUUUGGGGUAGAUUUUUUGAUUUAUAGAGGACUGGUAAGAUGAGGUAUUUAAAGAUGAGGGUUACAAAUUUUCCAUGUUGGCAUAUGGAAAGUAAAGAAUGGCAAAAUUUGUAGCACAUUCUAAUUAGUUCAAAUAUCUAUGUUACCAAAAUUGAAAUGAUAUCAAAUUGCACAGCAAUGUCCUGAUGGCCUUUCCUCUAACUUUCUGGGUUUGUAAGGGUAGGGUUGUGCCUAUCCUGCUCACCUUUGUCUCUCCAGUGUCUAGCAUAGCGUCCAGCACAGGCAGACUAUGAUGCCUGUUUUUUUUUUGUUGUUGUUUUUUUUUUUUUUUUUUUGGUAAAGACCAGUGAAUUACACUUUUUACACAUGACUAGGUUAAAACAAAAGUAGACAUUUGUGCAAACACCACUGUUCUCCCUUGAAGUGGUUGUAGGUCUCAGACAGUGCUAAUUUUUCUCUUUCUUAAUGUGUGUGGUUAGGAAGCUGGGUCCUGUGGCCAGAGUGAGCUGACCCACUAUGUGAGGAAACUUACUUAUCACAGCCUAAUAAGGAGUAGUCCUUGCAGCAGAAGUAAUUACUAAAUGUGCUUUGGUCAUUUGACAGAAAUCAGGGAGGCAGCAAGGAGUCAUGGAAAUGAGCCCAAACUGAGAGUCAAAACCCUGUGGUCUGCCGACACCCCCAUCCCACAUCCGUACCUAAAAGCAGGCUGUGCACUAGGGACCUAGUGACCUUACUAGAAAAAACUCAAAUUCUCUGAGCCACAAGUCCUCAUGGGCAAAAUGUAGAUACCACCACCUAACCCUGCCAAUUUCCUAUCAUUGUGACUAUCAAAUUAAACCACAGGCAGGAAGUUGCCUUGAAAACUUUUUAUAGUGUAUAUUACUGUUCACAUAGAUAAGCAAUUAACUUUACAUAUACCCGUUUUUAAAAGAUCAGUCCUGUGAUUAAAAGUCUGGCUGCCCUAAUUCACUUCGAUUAUACAUUAGGUUAAAGCCAUAUAAAAGAGGCACUACGUCUUCGGAGAGAUGAAUGGAUAUUACAAGCAGUAAUUUUGGCUUUGGAAUAUACACAUAAUGUCCACUUGACCUCAUCUAUUUGACACAAAAUGUAAACUAAAUUAUGAGCAUCAUUAGAUACCUUGGCCUUUUCAAAUCACACAGGGUCCUAGAUCUGCUGUGUGAUGCUGGAAAAGUAACUUCACUUCUGUGGGCCUCAGCUCCUUAAUUUUUAACAUACUUUGGAUUCUUAUAUCUUUGUCAGCUGUCAACUUCAGUGUUUUCAGGUUAAAUUCUAUCCAUAGUCAUCCCAAUAUACCUGCUUUAGAUGAUACAAACUUCAAAAGAUCCGGCUCUCCCUCGUAAAACGUGGAGGACAGACAUCAAGGGGGUUUUGUGAGUAAAGAAAGGCAACCGCUCGGCAAAAACGCACCCUGGCACAACAGGAGCGAAUAAAUACAGACGCUGAUUGAGCGUUUGCUCCAUCUUCACUUCUGUUAAAUGAAGACAUUGAUAUCUAAAAUGCUAUGAGUCUAACUUUGUAAAAUUAAAAUAGAUUUGUAGUUAUUUUUCAAAAUGAAAUCGAAAAGAUACAAGUUUUGAAGGCAGUCUCUUUUUCCACCCUGCCCCUCUAGUGUGUUUUACACACUUCUCUGGCCACUCCAACAGGGAAGCUGGUCCAGGGCCAUUAUACAGGUACGUCCCCAACCAUCCAAGGAAACUUUGCAAAGAAGCUCAAGUAUUAGGUUUCGAACACCCCUCCUUCCCCCUGCCUCUGCCCGCGGGAAUCCAUCCAGCACUUUGGGAGGCUGAGGUGACUGGAUCAUGAGGUCAGGAGAUUGAGACCAUCCUGGCUAGAAUGGUGAAACCCUGAAUCUACUAAAAAUACAAAAAAGAAAAAAAAAUUAGCCGGGCAUGAUGGCGGGCACCUGUAGUCCCAGCUACUCUGGAGGCUGAGGCAGGAGAAUGGCAUGAAUGCGGGAGGCGGAGUUUGCGGUGAGCCAAGAUCGCGCCACUGCAUUCCAGCCUGGAAUGCGAGCGAGACUGUCUC